GAUAAUAUGCUUCAAUGGUGUUGUGUUUUGAAGUGUGAAAUGCAAAGUAAUUGUGAUAGUUAAAUGCAAGAUAAAGUUCACUUUUAAACUGAACUAAAUAAGGUAUCUGAGAGACAACAAUGGUUAAAUGCAAUACAAUGUACAGGUUUUACUAGCGAAAUGAAAAUUUUCCUGUCCUGUCUGCUGUAAUCAUUUUAUAUCUGGAAAACCAGCCGACUUAAUCGAUAAUAACAAUCUCCAGAUUGGGUUCCUUCAAUAAAUAUGGACUAUAAACACAAUGAAAUAAGUUCCCCAAAAUCUAAAAUGGAGUGCUAUCAAAGGAGAAUUAAAGGAAAAAA
rnacentral:lncRNA from 1 species